rnacentral:lncRNA from 1 species
CUAGAAGUGCCUCCUCUGGUUUUAAACGUUGUCAAGGUUUUUGCAAUCCUUUCGGAAAGUGAUAAGGAUAUUCUUUGACCCAGUAAUUCUAUUUUUGGUGACUUGGACAAUCAUUCUGAGUAAAUGUAACCAUGCGUCCUCUAGGACUGGUUCAAACUGACCAGAUCAAACUGAUGAUCUCAUCAACAGAAGGUUAAAGUUGUUUUGCAGGGCCAAGCCAAAAAAUGCAAGUCAUUUAGCCAGAGCAUGCACAGAAGAGAAAAUUUUGACCAGAAAUAACACCUAGAACCACAGAUUCUCCCCUUGAUGGAACCAAAGGACUGGGGAAGAACCAGAACUUGAAAGCUAGACUCUCUUCAGAAUAAAGAGGUCUCUUUCCUAGGAAGAUCCUGUGUUAAAAUCCUUUCCACAUCUUACCAUCAAAGUUUAAAGCCCUCCAGGUCAACUUCACAAUAAAGUCUUUUCUCGAAAGCUUGUGCCAUGGUGUCAGCUUCUGUGCAUACCAGGUGAUGAGCACUUGCGCAGUAAAAAUUUCUGGUGACCAGGAAGGGACUCGGUCCCGUGACCACCAGCCUGAAGCUCUUGAGCCCCCAGCAGACUGUGCAGUCUCUUCACUGACAGUAAGUGACCACCUAGAGGCUUGGCUGAACAGAUUCCUGUUUCCCUCCUUGGUACUAUAGGCCUAUGAGUACUAUUUUUCUACUUUUGAAAGAAGAAACAGCUUCUGGACCAAGACUUCUCUGGGUUCGGGGAAAAGAGAAGAGGCGAGAAGAGGAGACAAGCUGAGAAGAGAGGAGAGAACAGGAGAGGGACAGAAUGACGUUGUGUGUUGAAGUACAAUUGUGUUUUGGCUCCAAUGGCCUUGAAAAAGUUUUUUUCAGUUUUGUUACAAACCCAUCAUGCCAUCUGCAGGGAACUGGUUAAAUGGACUUGGCACAUCCACACAAAGGAGUAUUUUGCAACCUUAGAAAGAGAGGAAUGUUUACAACUACUUAUAGAAGUCUAGUAGACAGUAAAUAGCCCUGAAUUUCUUGGUGAACUGAGCUCAUCUCCAAAAGCAGAAGAGAUGUAGUGAAGCGUGGGCUCCACCUGGUGGUGACAUCGGAAAAUCACAAGCAUGGAUCCUGGAGCAGUGAUUUCGGAAGUGUAUGGACCUGCUGCCACUUCUUUAGAGAGGGGAGUAUCAGUGCAUUCCUGAGAAAUGUGUAUGUGUGUGCAUCUGUGUCUACUACUUCAAGCCCGGGAUAUGUGUAUAUCGGUUUUCUCUCUCCUGACCUUUAGAAGAAUGUGUUUUGUGCUUGGAACAGAUCUUAACCGCUCACUGUUUUCAGUAUGACUUCUAUGCAGAAAAUUCCCAAAUCCAAACAUUAACUUCCUUUGUAUGCUUCAGGCAUAGGAGUUAGGUAUGCACAUCCUCUUGGAUUCAGAGUUUUGAUGUCAAAUGCUCCACUUCUAAAGUUAAGUCUCAUCUUCACCACAAACCUGCUUCUUUAGCCCUAACAUUCAGUCAAUUAAGUAGGCUUGACACUUGGGGGUCACAUGUACACAGCACUGCUUUUUUUUCCCUCCUUUUUCCUUUCAAUAGGCUCUGUCUUAGUCCAGAACUUGGUUCUUUUAUUAUCAUAUUGAUAUAUUGAUGGAUUCUCCUUGCUUUUGUAAUAUGCUGCAGCUACAAUCCCAUCCAGUAAGCAGUCAAGUUAUUCUUCCUAAAAUACCACUAUUAACACAUUCUCCCAAAUUUGUAGUGAUAAUUUAGCCCAAUAAAAAUACUUGCUCUCUAUCAGGCACUGUGCUCAUUCUUUUAGAUUUACUACCUCUAAUCUCACAACAACUUAGCAAGAAGGGUGUGUUCAAUUUGGAGGGGGAAAACGAAGUUUAGAAAAUUAGCCAUUUGGACUAUCAAACAUGGAAUAAGUGAUAGAGCCAAGUUUAAAAGACCUGAGCUGAGAUUGCUAACAAUCUCAGGUUCUUCAAACUGCACAAGAGUAACUUCUUCUGUAUGGGAUAAUUUCAUACUCUGUUAACUUAGCAUCCAAGGAAUUCCAUAACAUAGCUCCCACCUUCCUUUCAAGCCUGAACUUGUACCAUCUCCAAUGGAAACCAUUUGCUCCACUCUCUCUAGUCUAUUACCACUUCUAUAUAUACCAUAUGCAUUCUCAUCUCUGUUCCGUCUUACGUUCUGUGAUGUACCUGGAAUCACACUACCUAUAUUUCAGGUAUGUUCCCUUAGACUCAUGCCAGGAACUCCGGGCUAGACUGGUGGGGAAGAGAAGGGUAUUUAGGGGCUGGGCAUAGAGACCAAUGUGGAUGUUGAGUGAAUUGGAAUCAGACUUGGAUCUGCAUGCCAACUUACCCAUUCAGUCUUGCACACCCUAAACCUCUUCAGACUAUUUAGCCCUCUCUGGCUUCCAGUAGGGUUCUGUAGCAAUGAUUAUACAAAGGGGGAACCUACUGCUGUCUAGGACACAGGAAGAUAGCAGGUGCCAUCAAAUAAUUAUAAUACCCAGAGUCAGACCAGAGGUACUAUCACGGUUCCCAAUGAUCUGACUCGAUAGUGUGGAAUCCAAGCUAUUGGAAGGCAAGACCACAAUCCCAGGGAGCCAGGAACAACUACACAGAUUGAAGAGCCUUUAAGAAUUUAAGAUGAGUGGGUAAGUUGACAUGCAAGUCAGAACCUGAGGUGAGGGUGGUGGGAAGGAUAAAGGAUGCCAUAUGUUAAUACCUGUGUGUACCCCCACCUCCCUCCCUCUCAGGAUCCACUAGAAAUCAGACAAAGGACAACAAGAGCAGUUCUAGACCCUGCUGCUGGUUGACUUGAGUCUGUAGAUAUACAUUGGUCAGUGGUGGUUCACUGAACCAGCCAGUUCCCGUGCAUUAGAAGAUCUAGGUAAAGGCAGCAUCUAAUAUCAUCCUUCCUUUCAGUCCAUAUCAUUUAUUAAUUUUUCAAACAUAAUUGAAGACUAAACUCUUAUGUGAAAUAUUUUCUUACAUGGCAUCUCAGAGACUUCUCUACCAGCUCUACAUAUCUAAGCCAUGACAAGUGCAGACUGGGUUUUGUUACUUAUAAAUGGCUCCCACUAUAGAUAUUUAUUCUUCAACUUACAUUGUUCAUUAACUUUAUACAUCUCUAUGGCUUGAGAGUCAAAAACAAUCUAGUAUGAAGGUCAGACAAAAAAACACAUGAUGAUAAAAUAAUGUGAUGUGAACUAUGGCAGAUUAAUGUCCAGGUUGUUAUGGGAAGUCAAAGAAGAUGCCUUGUGUUGUUUGGGGUGGGGGUAGUUUCUUCAGAUUAGUUUUUCAGGUCUCCAAACAUAAAAUUACUGAAUCAAAGAAUGUUCUCAUUACUUUCCAAAAGGAUUGCAAAAACCUUGACAACAUUUAAUACCACCAUAGGCAUUUUUUGUGUCAAGCUCUCCUCUCCUUCCUGGACACAUGGACAAUUACAGUCCCCUGCACUUAGGUGGGGACACAGUCUAGUUCUCAUCAAUGGACAGGGAUCUGAAGGAUCACCCAUUGGCUGUGGUAGUGAAUAGCUCUUAUUCAAAUUUUAGUCUCUUUCUUCCCCAUGUUGAGGCUAUAUACUGAGAUGCUGGAGGCACAAGAUCAAAGAAGCCUGCAUGGUUGAGUUCCCAUGUGGAAGAGAGUAGACCUAAUGUCUGGUCUGAGCUAGGCUAACACUGCAUGAAAAGAAAUAAUUCCUGUCUUAAGUCACUGAUAUUUAGAUGACACGUAUUACCAUGCAUAAGUUUACUCUGUCUUAAUACAGGACUGAUGCUUAGUAUUGUUUUGCUCCUUUGGCCUAUAACACAAUUCUUUGUUAUUCAUACUUAUGUGGUCAAUAAUAAAGAAAUUAUUCAUAAAUCUUUGCUGAAGCAGCAUCCAAUAAGAAAAAUGAAUGGAUCCUUUGCCUCCUUCUCAGAAAUGAGAGACUGACAGGAAUGUGGCAUGUGAUGAUUUGUAUGAAUGUUAGGUGGUUCUAGGAGACAGAAACCUUAAUAAACAAUGACAUUCAUGUAAACAGAAGUUUUUGUUUUGUUUUGUUUGAGGAAGAUUGGCCCUGAGCUAACAUCUGUGCAGUCUUCCUCUAUUUUAUGUGGGAUGCUGCUACAGUGUAGCUUGAGAGCAGUGCUAGGUCUGCCUGGGUUCUGCAACUGUGAACUCUAAGCUACCAAAGCAGAGCAUGUGAACUUGACAACUACACCACCAGGCCGGCCGCAACAGUUAUUUUUUAAUGUGCUAAAUCCAACUGACAGUGGCAGCCAGAAGGAUACGUGGAGAAGAGGGAUCAGAGGGAACAUAUCUGAAAGGCUGUGGGUCCUUCCAGUUGUGCCAUGUGGGAUGCCGAAUAAGAAUCUAUCUUAAAGUCACCUGUUUGUUCCCUGACCUAAGUUUAGAAAUCUACUUCAUGAAGCCAUCCACAUCUGCACUGGAAUAUUACUAGAAUUUGUUAGUUGUAAGUCUCAUUGGCUGGGACUGGUAAUGUCAGUUUCUUCUGAGAAGAACAGUGCCAAAGAUUCUUAAUGAGUAAUUUUGAUCUGGAAGAAAAUUCGUUGUUAUAACAUAAGGGAUUUUAUUAGAUUAAACAGAAAAAAAUACAAAGAAGUAUAAGGUACUAUAUUUUGUAAAGAUCAAAUGUUCUUGAAUAUCCUUUGUUAAAUAAAUCGUGUCAGUAAAAAUCAUUGUGCUAAAUCAUAAGAAAUUAAAUAUGAAUUGGCCAGCAAAACAGAUGUAGGUUAACAAGAUGGCUGGACACACAGGCAUGAGAAGAGAAAGUGUUUAGUUUUUAUAUUCUCGUCACUGAGAAAGAGUGGAAAUGGAAUGGAAUUGGAGUGGGCAAUGAUGGAGAUACUAUGGGAAAAAUUUGUGCAUAAACGUUAAGAAGUCUAGUCUGUCAUUUCACACCCUUUUAUCGUUUCAAUUUUCUUUGAGAUCCACUCUGUCUUUCCUGUCUUAUCUCCAUUAUAUAAGGAGAAAAGCUGCCUUGGAAAAGGUAGAGCUGUAACUUUCAGAAAUGCACUGUAAUUGGCAGCAGUUGUGCCAGCCUGCUAUGAAAAGAAAGCCCAUGAACGAGGUAUUUCAAAUCAACUGCAACAACAAAAAGAAAAGAAAUGAAUAUUUACCCUUGUAAUCAGUUAAAAUUAAAAGGUUCCUGGUUUUUAGCCAUAAAAUAAAAAGGAAUAAAGAAAAAGUAGAUUUGAAUAUAUAAAGUUUGUAUUUAAAUACAGCAAGCAAAACCCCGACAGAAAAACGGGCAAAUAAUGUGAAAAUAUAUUUAAAUAAACAGUAUGAACAUAAAUGCAUACUCAAUAUGUUUACACAACAAAGAACACAAGUUUUCCCUUCGGUAGUUGGCAAGAGUCAAAAUAAGAGGAUUUGAAACAUGAAAGGGGCAGUAUCAAGCCCCUUUUUGCCACAGCACAGCAACCCCGACUCGCCCCACAACCAGAGCCCAGAACCGGGAUAAGCAGGCGGAGGAAGCGGAAGGCGCGAGCGCAUUUGGGGAUUGUAGUCCACCGAGCUACCACGGGGGAUGCGAGCCGGCCUGAGUCAUCGAAGCGAGAGACGCUGUGCAGCGGUAGCGGAAGGAAAAGCUCGGCAGGGUCGCGGCGCGACUGGGGAACUGAGCCCGCGUGUGCGCACGCGCCAAGAAGAGCGCACUGCGCAUGCUCCCUGGCCAGUUGAAAGUCCCGUAACUACCCGUUCUCCGCGUUUUCCCCGCUUGAGACCCAUCCUGGGUCUUGAGAGAGCGGCGCGUUAUUGUUGUUCAGGGGAUUGUCAAAGUGUAAGGUGAAGAGAGACUAAUAAGCCAAGUUCAAAACAACUUUAUAAGAUCUUUACUAUCCGCAGAAGGCGAAUGUCGCUGUGACGUGACGCAUUAGUCUUGAGCUCCUAGAGGCCGGGGUGCGUCCUACUGACCUGUCCCCAGAACAGCCUUUUCCAGCCACUUCCACUCCCAGAGCCUCCUUGCACCUCAGGCCAUGUCGUCAGGAGUCCCCAGCCCUCUGUAGAGCCUCCGGGGCGUCUGUCAGCGGGCAGAGCCUGCUAGGACCCUCCUGUCAAGGCCAUUUGCUGGAGCCUCAGUGGAGGAGACUGGGCUGUUAAUUUCCGAAUCUGAAAUGACCAGAGCUGUGACCCUUUAUUUUGUAGAGUAAGCACUCAUCAUUUGGCAGGUGAAGAGAGAGUGAAUGUUGGUCCUCAGAGUAAAUUUCCCCCCACGUAGUGUUGUCUCUGCAUGCACAUUCCCUGUGCUAAGGGAAAACGCAGAUUCUAGAGAGUGGGGGAGGAGGAAGCACCCUAAGCAGCAAGAAUAGAUUCUGAGAGGAAACCCCUCUGACCUGAGACCUCUUUCAACAAAUUCAAGUGAGAACCUGGAGAGUUUGGGAAGAGAGAAGACUUUGGAACUCCCGGGUUUGCAUUCUCCCAGGACUUUCUGGCCCAGAAAGAGGGUGACUUGGGAGGAGUUACCACAACCACACAGAGAGUGACAGAGGGAGACAGUAGAGGGAGCUUAAGCCAAAAGGUUGAGUCAAGAGGUGGCAGUUACGGAAGAGUCGAGGGUGGGAAAGGAGCAACAGACCUUUUUGGGUGGGUAAGAGAGAAAACAAUGGCUCAGGUAAGGGGGCUGAUGUCUCGGUGGAGUCAAAUGUUCACUUCCUUCCUGAAGCCUGGACUGCCUGAUGUGGGCUAGUCUGCUCACUGUGGCUUCUUUCUUCCCCACUUGCUCUCUGUCUUCUCCACACUUUCCCCAGAGAAGGAGACCCUGACCCAGUUCCAGAUGAGUUGAUUUUUUUUCUCCUGAAAUUCUAAUUAGUCAGAGUUGUCUGAUCUUUGCUCCUGUUUAGAAAAGAGAAACUAGAUGAGCAUUUAUUGAGCGUCUAAUGUCUGUCAGUUACUUUUAGACGCUUUAGUGGUUCCUGUAUUUAUAUCUCAGAGGACCUGCAAACAUAUGUGAGUAUUUCCAUUAUGAGGGUGAGGAAAAUCUCUCAGAGAUAACAAAGGAAGUGUUCAUGGUCACAAAGUGUUAAAUUAUAAUUAGUAAUCAUUUUCUGGGAAAAUAUUUUGAGGCUAUGUAAAUCUCUUGUUGUUUGUCAAAAUUUCAUUCAAUACCUAUAACACUCAUUGAUGAUUCCUGCAUAAACCAGUCAUUACUACAAUAGCUGAAAAAUGGUGAUGUUGCAACUGUAUUACUUUUUGUUUUUAUGUUUCUCUUUUUUUAUGUAAUGAAGAGCUUUCCCUGCUACUUCAUUUAUUCAUAUAUUUAUAUCCGGAGAAAGUCAUGGAUCUUUAUUUUGCUCAAUGUGUCAUUCUUGAAUAAAUUAUCAUUUUUGAUUUUCAUGCUGAAAUUAUCUAGAUUUGUGCUGUAAGAG